GUAUAAAAAAACAUUUGGGAAUACCCAUACGGAAAAAAAUGUCUCAGAAAUCACACUUUCAUGAAGUCAUCCUGUUGGUCAGCACCAUACGCAGCUGACAUCACUUCCACGUCAAUAACAGAGGAAGUCUGGAAACUACUAAAACACUCAUUGCACAGCCAAGGCUGCGCUGAUAUCAAAACUACCUGCAUCAGAACUAUUCAUCUCCCAUGGAAGUCGGGGGAUUCCUGGAUACUACGGAAGAAGCGUAAGGCCAGGUGGGCUGCCCCUGCCAUGACUCAUCCUAGAAAUUAUAGUUCACCUGUGGUGGGUAGACCCCUAGAUGAUAUCCACCAUCCAGAUGGAAAACAGUGCUAUGCAGGGGUCUCGAAGUGACU